CAAAGUUUAAUACAGUCAUUAUCUUUUACACAUUUGAAAAAAGUAACUUGUUUUAAUUUAUAAAAGAAAAUAGGCUAUAGAAUAUUAAUCUCUGUGAAACAAUAAGACAAAUGUAUGAAAAUUAUUUUAGAGCUACUUUUUCAUGGCCGUUGACCUACUGGAACAAGAGCAAAACCUGCAUUAGAUGAGUGAUCAUAAGAUUCUCCAUAAGUUGAUGUCCAAUAAUAAUGCUUUUUAAGGCCAUUGGAGACUUCUGCAAGAUAUACACGUCCAUCUACCACAAAUGGCUCCACAUCUGUAUUGUCUGGUUUUAAACAACCCAUUUGAAUUAAGUCUGAAUAUGCCUAGGAUUUUUAAGAAAAGAAAAACUAUAUCAUUAAGAAAAAAUGUAUCCAAUUUACAGUGCUUAAGGAAAUUUAAAUAUUCAAAUUAGCUGUGUUAAUUUGUAGUUUAAAAUAUUCUGAAUAACA
rnacentral:antisense_RNA from 1 species